UGCCUGCACCUCCUCGUCCUCCAGACAGUCCUGAGGUGAGGGGUGGUGCUCAGGUGAGGGUGGGGUACGUACCUCUGACCCGGGACGCGUAGCAGCAGCCACACUUGGAGAGCACUUUUCUGAACAGGUGCCGGCACCCGCAGCCGCGGUUCCUGGGACCCCCCUUCAUGGUGGUCCGGUCAUCACCGUCUCAGAUCCAACAGGCCAUGCCCCCGGGCGUAGCACCCUCACACUGGAACACUCGCUGCUGCUCCUGCUGCUCCACCUCCUCCACCUCCCUCCACCAGCACACACAACCAACCCUCACCCGAUAAGAAGAGGUUUCCCCCUCACCCGAGUGCUCUGAAGACCCCCCGCUCUGAAGAGGUCUCCCCUCACCCCAGGACUAUGAAGACCCCCGGUCAGAAGAGGUCUCCCCUCGCAGUGAUCCCGGAGGAGGGGAGGGAGGUGAAGGGGGGGGGGGGGAGGAUACGAAGUCCAGAGCCUGGAGCUCAGAGAGUG